UGUCUUAGUCCGGAGUGACACCGGUAUAACCGUUCACACCACUAGGGUUCUCCAGGUUUGACGCCGGUGUAACUGAGCGGAGCUGUGGCGGGGAGAGCCGGCUAACGCGCGAACACCCUGGACGGAAAGGCGGCCCCACCGAGAGAGCCCCUCACCUGUGAGGUUCCGUGGGGCCGACCCUGGCUGCGCCCCCGCGGGCCAGGGCUGUGUCGCUGAGGCGUGUCCUGCAGGGGAGGGGAAGUCCGAGCGGCUUUGCUUGGGGAGAAGUGCCAGGCCAGGCUCGUUCAGGGAGCGCCUAGCACCAACACUCAGUUGCCCCUAGCAGGGCGUGACUAGCAGGAAACUGGAGUUGUGCUCCUCAGUGCAAUAGCACAGGAGAGGUGGGGGAGGCUGGAAAAAUAUUCAACUAUAUUGUUGUAACUGAUCAGAGAGAAAGGACAGCACAGGAAGGGCUGUGGUGUAAGGGCAAUCCGCACUGAUUGCUCACGUUGCUUAUCUUUUAACGGUCUCCAGUUCACCAGGAUCCUGCUGGUACCCAGGGACCCAGACCUGAAUGGAGCAUUCUAGGAAUGGCUGCACCAGGGCCACAGAGUGAGGGACUUUCACAUGCCUGUUUCAUGCUGAUGCUCAUGAGCAGGGGAUAGAUAAUUUCAUUAGCCUUUUUUUCCUUCCCUCUUGCAUUGCAAACUCAUGCCUUACAUGCUAUCCCCUCUCACUCCCAUGUCUCUUGGAUUCCUACUUCCCCACUGCCUCCUCCCCACUAUGCAUUUGUGACUGUCUCUACAUAGGUGCUAUGGGAUAUUAUUCCCAGCUCACAUAGAUGUACACAUGGUAGCUGUGUUUGAGCUAGUGUGCUAAAAAUAACAGUGUAACCAGGUCGCACGUGUAGUGCCUCGGCUGUGGGAGGAUGUACCAAGGGGGUCUGGGUGGAUAUGUACUUGGGUGGCUAGUCCAAGCCACUACCAGUGCUACUCCAGCUAUGGUGCUAUUUUUAGCCUGUUAGCUCAAUCAGAGCUAGCGCAGAUACAUCUACACAACCUGCGAUUCACACCUCCCAGCUACAAUGUAAACGUAGCCUGGGUUUCAGAUUAUUGCAUGUUACCUGCACUUUUCCACACUGAAACUCAGGUUGUUAUUUUUCUGCUCAGGUUUCUAGUCUAUCCAUGUGAUUUCUCUACCCUCACAGAUGUUGGCAACUCCUCCCAAUUUACUGUCAUCUGCAGACCUGGUUGAAACUCAGAAUUCCCAUUCCAUAGGUCAUUCCCACAUUUCAAAUUUGUUUUCA